rnacentral:rRNA from 1 species
CGUAGGUGGCAAGCGUUGUCCGGAAUUAUUGGGCGUAAAGCGCGCGCAGGCGGUUCCUUAAGUCUGAUGUGAAAGCCCCCGGCUCAACCGGGGAAGGUCAUUGGAAACUGGGGAACUUGAGUGCAGAAGAGAAGAGCGGAAUUCCACGUGUAGCGGUGAAAUGCGUAGAGAUGUGGAGGAACACCAGUGGCGAAGGCGGCUCUUUGGUCUGUAACUGACGCUGAGGCGCGAAAGCGUGGGGAGCAAACAGGAUUAGAUACCCUGGUAGUCCACGCCGUAAACGAUGAGUGCUAAGUGUUAGAGGGUUUCCGCCCUUAGUGCUGCAGCUAACGCAUUAAGCACUCCGCCUGGGGAGUACGGCCGCAAGGCUG